UCUGCUUGAUUUCCAGUAGGGUCUCGUUAGUCCGUUUGACACAGAGAUACUUACCUCAUAAUGUGUAGAGAACUGUUCCUUGAUGGAUAGGCUACUGUACAACACACAGAGCUAUUUUCCUUUAUUCAGGACAUUUAGAAUGACAACACAUUACAGAGUAGCCUAGUGGGAUUAUUCACAAAAUGAUCUGGUGAUCAGGUUAUGAAAUGUCAUGACAAAGACAUUUUAGUUUCCAUGUUUCACCUGAGAUAUUUAAUAUAUAGUCCUAGGUCUAUGUUGUUGUUAGGUGAAGUUAUGGGUCCUACAGUAGGUCUAUGUUGUUGUUAGGUGAAGUUAUGGGUCCUACAGUAGGUCUAUGUUGUUGUUAGGUGAUGUUAUGGGUCCUACAGUAGGUCUAUGUUGUUGUUAUGGGUCCUACAGUAGGUC
rnacentral:lncRNA from 1 species